AGAGUUUGAUCAUGGCUCAGAGCGAACGCUGGCGGCAGGCUUAACACAUGCAAGUCGAGCGGGCGUAGCAAUACGUCAGCGGCAGACGGGUGAGUAACGCGUGGGAACAUACCUUUUGGUUCGGAACAACACAGGGAAACUUGUGCUAAUACCGGAUAAGCCCUUACGGGGAAAGAUUUAUCGCCGAAAGAUUGGCCCGCGUCUGAUUAGCUAGUUGGUGAGGUAAUGGCUCACCAAGGCGACGAUCAGUAGCUGGUCUGAGAGGAUGAUCAGCCACAUUGGGACUGAGACACGGCCCAAACUCCUACGGGAGGCAGCAGUGGGGAAUAUUGGACAAUGGGCGCAAGCCUGAUCCAGCCAUGCCGCGUGAGUGAUGAAGGCCCUAGGGUUGUAAAGCUCUUUUGUGCGGGAAGAUAAUGACGGUACCGCAAGAAUAAGCCCCGGCUAACUUCGUGCCAGCAGCCGCGGUAAUACGAAGGGGGCUAGCGUUGCUCGGAAUCACUGGGCGUAAAGGGUGCGUAGGCGGGUCUUUAAGUCAGGGGUGAAAUCCUGGAGCUCAACUCCAGAACUGCCUUUGAUACUGAGGAUCUUGAGUACGGGAGAGGUGAGUGGAACUGCGAGUGUAGAGGUGAAAUUCGUAGAUAUUCGCAAGAACACCAGUGGCGAAGGCGGCUCACUGGCCCGUUACUGACGCUGAGGCACGAAAGCGUGGGGAGCAAACAGGAUUAGAUACCCUAGUAGUCC
rnacentral:rRNA from 1 species